rnacentral:rRNA from 1 species
CACGUAGGGUGCGAGCGUUGUCCGGAAUCAUUGGGCGUAAAGGGCGCGUAGGUGGCCCGGUCAGUUCGUGGUGAAAGCGCGGGGCUCAACCCUGCGUCGGCCAUGAAUACUGCCGCGGCUGGAGCACUGUAGAGGCAGGCGGAAUUCCGGGUGUAGCGGUGGAAUGCGUAGAGAUCCGGAAGAACACCGGUGGCGAAGGCGGCCUGCUGGGCAGUUGCUGACACUGAGGCGCGACAGCGUGGGGAGCAAACAGG